ACGAACGCUGGCGGCAUGCCUAACACAUGCAAGUCGAACGAGACCUUCGGGUCUAGUGGCGCACGGGUGCGUAACGCGUGGGAACCUGCCCUUAGGUUCGGAAUAACUCCCCGAAAGGGGUGCUAAUACCGGAUAAUGUCUUCGGACCAAAGAUUUAUCGCCUUUGGAUGGGCCCGCGUUGGAUUAGCUAGUUGGUAGGGUAAAAGCCUACCAAGGCGACGAUCCAUAGCUGGUCUGAGAGGAUGAUCAGCCACACUGGGACUGAGACACGGCCCAGACUCCUACGGGAGGCAGCAGUGGGGAAUAUUGGACAAUGGGCGAAAGCCUGAUCCAGCAAUGCCGCGUGAGUGAUGAAGGCCUUAGGGUUGUAAAGCUCUUUUACCCGGGAUGAUAAUGACAGUACCGGGAGAAUAAACUCCGGCUAACUCCGU
rnacentral:rRNA from 1 species